GUUGGCGGAGGGGGGCGUCCCUACCCUCUGCUUAACCUUAACGCGGCUCCCACAUUCGGGGCAGAGAGAAGGUGGUCUCCGGGGCAGAGCCAAGCCAAGAUGAGACAGAGCUAACAGGGACCAGAAAUGUGAAGCUUGGACCAUGACGGGAACACUCGCAACUGGGGAGAAUGGAAAACAACACCAUCAGCAACAGCUACAAAAAUGGUGCGAAGAUUAACAAGAACAUAAAACAACGGAAGUCAAACAUAAGACGACCCGACACGGAGAGAACACGUCUGAACAGCAGCUCCUGUGAUCGGGCACCUGCUCUGACUCCAUUCCCUGUCUCUGACUCUUGUCACGAGUGCCUGCGAGGAAGUGACUCAACAGUGGAGUAACAUGUUCAAACGCCCAAGCCAGUUCUGUUGCUCUGAUCCCAGAAUGAUGUAUCAUACCGCAUGACAAUGUGGAGCUCAGAGGAGUUUGGGGAGUCUCAGAGGAAACAGGAAGCCUGUGCAGGAUUCAUGUUUUCUUUCAUCUUGGAAAUUGCAGCUGGAAUGAAUCAAAUAUUAG